AGACACGGCCCAGACACCUACGGGUGGCAGCAGUCGAGAAUCUUUCACAAUGGGGGAAACCCUGAUGGAGCGACGCCGCGUGGAGGAUAAGGUCUUCGGAUUGUAAACUCCUGUCAUGCGAGAGCAAGAUUGGUCAUUUAAUAGGUGAUUAAUUUGAUAGUAUCGCAAGAGGAAGAGACGGCUAACUCCGUGCCAGCAGCCGCGGUAAUACAGAGGUCUCAAGCGUUGUUCGGAAUCACUGGGCGUAAAGGGUGCGUAGGUGGCGUGGUAAGUCAGAUGCGAAAGCCCAGGGCUCAACCCUGGAAUUGCAUCCGAUACUGCCGUGCUAGAGAACUGAAGGGGAGUCUGGAAUUCUCGGUGUAGCAGUGAAAUGCGUAGAUAUCGAGAGGAACACCAAUGGCGAAGGCAAGACUCUGGGCAGUUUCUGACACUGAGGCACGAAGGCCAGGGUAGCGAACGGGAUUAGAUACCCCGGUAGUCCUGGCAGUAAACGGUGCACGUUUGGUGUGGGAGGAUUCGACCCCUUCCGUGCCGGAGCUAACGCGUUAAGCGUGCCGCCUGGGAAGUACGGUCGCAAGAUUAAAACUCAAAGAAAUUGACGGGGACCCGCACAAGCGGUGGAGUAUGUGGCUUAAUUCGAUGCAACGCGAAGAACCUUACCUGGUCUUGACAUGCAUCCUGUCGUUAGUGAAAGCUAGCUAGUGUAGCAAUACACGGUUUGCACAGGUGCUGCAUGGCUGUCGUCAGCUCGUGUCGUGAGAUGUUGGGUUAAGUCCCGCAACGAGCGCAACCCCUGUGAUUUGUUGCCAUCGGGUAAUGCCGGGCACUCGAAUCAGACUGCCUCGAUCAACGAGGAGGAAGGUGGGGACGACGUCAAGUCCGUAUGGCCCUUACGACCAGGGCUGCACACGUACUACAAUGCCCAGCACAAUGUGAACCGAAACCGCGAGGUGGAGGAAAUCCUUAAAACUGGGCUCAGUUCAGAUUGCAGGCUGCAACUCGCCUGCAUGAAGUUGGAAUCGCUAGUAAUGGUACAUCAGCUACGGUACCGUGAAUACGUUCCCGGGUUUUGUACACACCGCCCGUCACAUCAUGGAAGCUGGUUUCGCCCGAAGUGCUUGCGCCAACCGUAAGGAGGCAGAGCCCUAAGGCAAGACUGGUAACUGGGAUGAAGUCGUAACAAGGUAGCCGUAGGGGAACCUGCGGCUG
rnacentral:rRNA from 1 species